rnacentral:snoRNA from 1 species
CUUUGAUGACUCAUUUUUUUACAAACUAGAGUUUCUGAUUGUUUACGUGAUCUAAAAUUCUU